rnacentral:lncRNA from 1 species
AAGACCCUCAUUUUUCUCUACCAUCAAUACUGCCUACCCUCCCAAACACAAAAUAUUGCUACCAUUUCAUUUCGCUUAUUGGCUUUCUUUCAGGUUCAGUUUCUAUUCUACCUUUUAACAUCUGAACAUAGCUCAUGAGCCUUGUCGUUAGGCUGGUUGGGACCACAGAAUAAACUACUCCAAAAACAUAGACAAGAGGUGAGAGGCUCCUUCUUUUGGGCUGGGCUCUGCCCUCCACCUCCUGCUUGGGGUGAUGAAAUUCAAACCGAGUCUGGGGAUGAUAAACCUGGGAGUCGUGAUGCAGCACAUACUCCUGGAGCUACUCAAGCUGGCUACUCAAGAUCAUUAACAGGGAACUUGUUGAAUAAGCCAUGAUACCGUCUU